CAACACUCACACCUGUGUUAAUGAGAGAAUCACUGACAUGAUGUCAGCUGGUCCUUUUGUGGCAGGGCUGAAAUGGAGUGGAAAUGUUUUUUGGGGAUUCAUUUGCAUGGCAAAGAGGGACUUUGCAAUUAAUUGCAAUUCAUCUGAUCACUCUUCAUAACAUUCUGGAGUAUAUGCAAAUUGCCAUCAUACAAACUGAGGCAGCAGACUUUGUGAACAUUAAUAUUUGUGUCAUUCUCAAAACUUUUGGCCACAACUGUAUUAUACUAGUACUUCAGGACUAUCAGUCCCUAUGAUAUUAUACUAGUACUUCAGUACAAUCAGUCCCUAUUGUAUUAUACUAGUACUUCAGUACUAUCAGUCCCUAUGAUAUUAUACUAGUACUUCAGUACUAUCAGUCCCUAUGAUAUUAUACUAGUACUUCAGUACUAUCAGUCCCUAUGAUAUUAUACUAGUACGGAAGUACUAUCAGUCCCUAUUGUAUUAUACUAGUACUUCAGUACUAUCAGGGUGGUACUGAGAGUGCACUGUGUGUGAAGGUGCUCACGCUUGUGUGAAGGAGGUUUUUGUACGGAGACUUCACCAGAAUUAAUCACUGUGGUGGACUUUUGGAAGUGGCACAAAACUGGUGUUGAAAACUGGUCCCUCUGUCAGGCCCACAGUGUCUCUGCUCCCCCCGUCCUCUGAGCAGCUCUCCGGGGGCUCGGCCACACUGGCCUGCCUGCUGAGUGACUACUCCCCCCAGGGGGCGAUGGUGAGCUGGGAGGUGGACGGGGCGGAGGUGAAGGAGGAGGUCCUGACCACCACAGAAGAAGAGAAAGGUGGCCGCUACAGUCGCAGCAGCACCCUGACCCUGAGCAAGGCACGCUGGGAAGAGGGAGAGGUCUACACCUGCAGGGUCGCCCACGACGACACCAGUGAUUCGGCCGCCUUCCGGAAAAGUCACUGUAGUGUCUAGAAGCCAUUGUAGGGGGCUAGAGAGUCCCCACAUGGUGCAAGUGAAGGAAACAUUAGUGUUUAAGAGCUGAAUGUUACAGUAGAAUAGUGAAUAAUAUCAGUAGUGCUGUGUGCUAAAUGAACUAUUUUGAGAUUUAGUUGUACAUGUCUUCUUGCCUCUGAGUUCAAAUAAAGCUUGUUUUGAUUAAAAAAUAA